GAUGAACGCUGGCGGCGUGCCUAAUACAUGCAAGUCGAGCGAACAGACGAGGAGCUUGCUCCUCUGACGUUAGCGGCGGACGGGUGAGUAACACGUGGAUAACCUACCUAUAAGACUGGGAUAACUUCGGGAAACCGGAGCUAAUACCGGAUAAUAUAUUGAACCGCAUGGUUCAAUAGUGAAAGACGGUUUUGCUGUCACUUAUAGAUGGAUCCGCGCCGCAUUAGCUAGUUGGUAAGGUAACGGCUUACCAAGGCGACGAUGCGUAGCCGACCUGAGAGGGUGAUCGGCCACACUGGAACUGAGACACGGUCCAGACUCCUACGGGAGGCAGCAGUAGGGAAUCUUCCGCAAUGGGCGAAAGCCUGACGGAGCAACGCCGCGUGAGUGAUGAAGGUCUUCGGAUUGUAAAACUCUGUUAUUAGGGAAGAACAAAUGUGUAAGUAACUAUGCACGUCUUGACGGUACCUAAUCAGAAAGCCACGGCUAACUACGUG
rnacentral:rRNA from 1 species